rnacentral:rRNA from 1 species
GCCCGGCGCACUUUUCUGCUGUCAGGCCAGCAUCGGUUCGGGCGGUCGGAUAAAGGCUUCGGGAAUGUAGCUCCUCUCGAGGAGUGUUAUAGCCCGUUGCGAAAUGCGGCCAGCCUGAACUGAGGUCCGCGCUUCGGCUAGGAUGCUGGCGUAAUGGUUGUAAGCGGCCCGUCUUGAAACACGGACCAAGGAGUCUAACAUCUGUGCGAGUGUUUGAGUGUCAAACCCGUACGCGUAAUGAAAGUGAACGGAGGCGGGAACCCCUCGGGGUGCACCGUCGACCGAUCCUGAUGUCUUCGGAUGGAUUUGAGUAAGAGCAUAGCUGUUGGGACCCGAAAGAUGGUGAACUAUGCCUGAAUAGGGUGAAGCCAGAGGAAACUCUGGUGGAGGCUCGCAGCGGUUCUGACGUGCAAAUCGAUCGUCAAAUUUGGGCAUAGGGGCGAAAGACUAAUCGAACUAUCUAGUAGCUGGUUCCUGCCGAAGUUUCCCUCAGGAUAGCAGUAACGUUUUCAGUUUUAUGAGGUAAAGCGAAUGAUUAGAGGCCUGGGGGUUGAAACAACCUUCACCUAUUCUCAAACUUUAAAUAUGUAAGAAGUCCUUGUUGCUUAGUUGAACGUGGACAUUUGAAUGUAUCGUUACUAGUGGGCCAUUUUUGGUGAGCAGAACUGGCGAUGCGGGAUGAACCGAACGCGGAGUUAAGGUGCCGGAAUGCACGCUCAUCAGACACCACAAAAGGUGUUAGUUCAUCUAG